rnacentral:tRNA from 2 species
GCCGACUUGGCUCAAUUGGCAGAGCAAUUGAUUUGUAAUCAAUAGGUUGUAGGUUCGAUUCCUAUAGUCGGCACCA